UGACAGGCUACUCUGCCAUCUCUCUCCCUCUCCUGGGGCCUAUCUGUUCCCUUAAACACAAUAAUAUUGAAAUUAGGCCAAUUAAGAACUCUGCAAUGGUUUUCUAGGUGUUCAAGUGAAAGGAAAAGUUGCGUAUCUCUCACUUUAAAUCAAAAGCUAGAAAUGAUUCAUCUUAGUGCAGAAGGCAUGUUGAAAGCUGAGAUAGGCCCCCUUGCACCAAACAGCCAAGUUGUGAAUGCAAAUGAGAAGUUUUUGAAGGAAAUUAAAAGUGCUACUCCAGUGAACACAUGAAUGAUAAGAAAGUGAAACAGACUUACUGCUGAUACGAAGAACGUUUGAGUGGUCUGGAUAGAAGGUCAAACCAGCCACAAGAUUUCCUUAAGCCAAAGCUGAAUCCAGAGCAAAGCCCUAACUGCCUUCAAUUUUGUGAAGGCUGAGAGACCUGAGGAAGUUGCAGAAGACAAGUUAAAAGCUAGCAGAGGUUGGUUCAUGAAGUUUAAGGAAAGAAGCUGUCUUCAUAAUAUAGAAGUGUAAGGUGAAGCAGCAAAUACUGAUGUAGGAGCUGCAGCAAGUUAACUAGAACAGGGGUCCCCAACCCCCGGCCCUUGGACCGGUACUGGUCCCUAGCCUGUAAGGAACAAGGACGCACAGCGUGAGACGAAGUCUCGCUCUUGUCCCCCAGGCUGGAGUGCAAUGGCGCGAUCUUGGCUCACUGCAACCUCUGCCUCCCAGGUUCAAGGAAUUCUCCUGCCUCAGCCUCCCGAGUAGCUGGGAUUACAGGCGCCUGCCACCACGCCUGGCUAAUUUUUGUAUUUUAAGUAGAGAUGGGGUUUCACCAUGUUGGCCAGGCUGGUCUCGAACUCCUGACCUCAGGUGAUCCACUCACCUCGGUCUCCCAAAGUGCUGGGAUUACAGGUGUGAGCCACCGUGUGCGGCCUCAGGGAAUUGAACAGCUUGGACUUGGAGACAGUGAGUUAAAACAGAAAUAAGAAGGCGGCAGAAAAAGACUACCAGAUUGAAAUGUGUUGGAUAUUCAUAUCCACCCAGCACCUCAGAAUGUGGCCAUGGAGGAUGGAGACAGAGAUUGGAGUGAUGCAUCUUCAAGCCUAGGAACACUAAGGAUUGCUGGUAAUCACCAGAAGCUGGAAGAGGCAAGAAAGUGUCCUUUCCUAGAGCCUUCAGAGAGAGCGCAGCCCUGCCAACACCUUGAUUAUAUGCUUCAAGCUUCUAGAAUUGUGAGAGAAUAAAUUUCUGUUGUUAUAA
rnacentral:lncRNA from 1 species